UACGGAGGGGGCUAGCGUUGUUCGGAAUCACUGGGCGUAAAGCGCGCGUAGGCGGCCGGUCAAGUGCGGCGUGAAAGUCCUGGGCUCAACCCGGGGACGGCGCUGCGGACUGUUCGGCUGGAGUCCGGAAGAGGGUGGUGGAAUUCCGAGUGUAGAGGUGAAAUUCGUAGAUAUUCGGAGGAACACCGGUGGCGACGGCGGCCACCUGGUCCGGUACUGACGCUCAAGCGCGAAAGCGUGGGGAGCAAACAGG
rnacentral:rRNA from 1 species